rnacentral:lncRNA from 1 species
UGUAAGGGUGGGUUGGAGGGGGUGGUGAAGGAUAUUUGUAUGGCUUUUUGUGAGGAGGAGGUGGUGGAGAGUGAUAGUGAGGUUUAGGGUAGACAUGCACUGGUGGUGGAGGAGAGGAAUAUUUGUAAUGCUUUUUUGGUGGUGGUGGGGAAUGGUAAUAGGGUUUAGGGUGAACAUGAUGAACUGGUGGUGGUGGUGAAGGAUACUUGUAAGGUUUCUUCGGUGGUGGUGGAGAGUGAUAAUGGUAAGGGUGUUUUGGAGGUGAGUAAACUGGUGGUGGUGGAGAAUGGUAGUAGUAUGGUUUCUUUGUUGGUGGUGGUGGUGGUGAGGAGUAGUGGUAAGGUGGUGAAACUGGAGGGUACACCUUAGGUGGUGGUGAGACUGGGGGGUACACCUUAGGAGGUGGUGAAACUGGAGGGUAUACCUUAGGUGGUGGUGAGACUGGAGGGUAUACCUUAGGUGGUGGUGAGACUGGGGGGUAUACCUUGGGUGGUGGGGGUGAGGAAUACAAGUAAUUGUUUGCUGAAAUUUGUGAUGGGAAGGUGGUGAGAGAUAGUAUGGCUAAUAGAAGAGUUAAAGUGAUAGAGGCCAUUAGAGACCCCAUUUUUUAUGGUUACUCACAACCUCACUGGGUAUAGUGGGUUUUUGUUAUGCUCUAAGCUAAGGAAGUGUUGCCCUUUAUAUAGAUGUUUUAUUUACCUUAUUCAUCUUGCUCACUUUAUUUUCAACUUGGUUGCCAGUAAGGUGCUGCCGUUUCUUCUCCUCUUUUUGUCAC